rnacentral:rRNA from 1 species
CCCUUAGAUGUUCUGGGCCGCACGCGCGCUACACUGAUGCAUUCAACGAGCCUAUCCUUGACCGACAGGUCGGGGUAAUCUUUGAAUCUGCAUCGUGACGGGGAUAGAUUAUUGCAAUUAUUAAUCUUCAACGAGGAAUGCCUAGUAGGCGCAAGUCAUCAGCUUGCGUCGAUUACGUCCCUGCCCUUUGUACACACCGCCCGUCGCUCCUACCGAUUGGGUGUGCUGGUGAAAUGUUCGGAUCGGCCGUUUGUCGCGGUUUCCGCGUCAUGUGGCUGAGAAGUUCAUUAAACCCUCCCACCUAGAGGAAGGAGAAGUCGUAACA